GACGUAGGGGGCCAGCGUUGUUCGGAAUUACUGGGUGUAAAGGGUUCGUAGGCGGUGUGGCAAGUCGGGAGUGAAAUCUCUGGGCUCAACUCAGAGACUGCUUCCGAAACUGCUGUGCUGGAGUGUGGGAGAGGCGCGUGGAAUUGCAGGUGUAGCGGUGAAAUGCAUAGAUAUCGGGAGGAACACCAGCGGCGAAGGCGGCACUCUGGGCUGGAACUGACGCUGAGGAGCGAAAGCGUGGGUAGCAAACAGG
rnacentral:rRNA from 1 species